rnacentral:rRNA from 1 species
GACGAACGCUGGCGGCGUGCCUAAUACAUGCAAGUUGAGCGCUGAAGGUUGGUACUUGUACCGACUGGAUGAGCAGCGAACGGGUGAGUAACGCGUGGGGAAUCUGCCUUUGAGCGGGGGACAACAUUUGGAAACGAAUGCUAAUACCGCAUAAAAACUUUAAACACAAGUUUUAAGUUUGAAAGAUGCAAUUGCAUCACUCAAAGAUGAUCCCGCGUUGUAUUAGCUAGUUGGUGAGGUAAAGGCUCACCAAGGCGAUGAUACAUAGCCGACCUGAGAGGGUGAUCGGCCAAAUUGGGACUGAGAAACGGCCCAAACUCCUACGGGAGGCAGCAGUAGGGAAUCUUCGGAAAUGGACGAAAGUCUGACCGAGCAACGCCGCGUGAGGGAAGAAGGGUUUCGGAUCGGAAAACUCUGUUGGUAGAGAAGAACGUUGGUGAGAGUGGAAAGCUCAUCAAGUGACGGUAACUACCCAGAAAGGGACGGCUAACUACGUG